rnacentral:rRNA from 1 species
AUUGAACGCUGGCGGCAUGCCUAACACAUGCAAGUCGAACGGUAACAGGCCCUUCGGGCGCUGACGAGUGGCGGACGGGUGAGUAAUACUUAGGAAUCUACCCUGUAGUGGGGACGAACCCGAGGAAACUCGGGCUAAUACCGCAUACGCUCUACGGAGGAAAGCGGGGACCGGCAAGGCCUCGCGCUAUUGGAUGAGCCUAAGCCCGACUUAGCUAGUUGGUGGGGUAAUGGCCUACCAAGGCAAUGAUCGGUAGCUGGUCUGAGAGGACGACCAGCCACACUGGGACUGAGACACGGCCCAGACUCCUACGGGAGGCAGC